rnacentral:rRNA from 1 species
UUUAUUGGAGAGUUUGAUCCUGGCUCAGGAUGAACGCUGGCGGCGUGCCUAAUACAUGCAAGUCGAGCGAAUGGAUUAAGAGCUUGCUCUUAUGAAGUUAGCGGCGGACGGGUGAGUAACACGUGGGUAACCUGCCCAUAAGAUUGGGAUAACUCCGGGAAACCGGGGCUAAUACCGGAUAACAUUUUGAACUGCAUGGUUCGAAAUUGAAAGGCGGCUUCGGCUGUCACUUAUGGAUGGACCCGCGUCGCAUUAGCUAGUUGGUGAGAUAACGGCUCAC